AUGCUUCAAGCGUGACAACCCAAAAUCACAAACUUUGACAUUCCAGUUUUUAUCUACCAAAAGAUUUGGUGACUUUAAAUCCCGGUGAACGAUUGUUGGCGUACUAGCAUGCAAGCAAUUCAUACCCCUUGCCACAUCAAGAGCCAUCUUUAUUCUACGCUUCUCGUCAAUUUGACAAUGGGGACGGUGAAGAAUCCGGUAUAAACUUCCUCUAGGAAGAAACUCUGUAAUGAUAGAGAGGUUUGGAGGGCGUGUAACAGCACCCAUAAAGAGGACAACAUUUGGAUUGCGCAAUCUCCGCAUUAUUCGCACUUCUCUUUUGAAUUCAGCUAAAGCAGCACCUGAGAAAUCCUGGUCUAAGAAUUUCUUCACGGCAACCUCCGUGCCAUUCCAAUCAGCAUGAUAAACCUCUCCAUAUGAACCUAGUCCAAUCCUCUCACCAAUAACCAAAUCUUCCCAAGGAAUUUCGCAUUCACCAACAUCUACAUCAUCAAAGAUUUGAUCAACCCUGUUCCUGGUGGAAUCAACUGAUGAGCUAGGACUUUCAGGUUCCUUUGGUUUCAGAUUGGUUCCCAAAAAUCUGUCCUGCAUGCACUUUUUCCAAUCAUGGAAACAAAUUUCAUUAUUUUCAUUAGCUUUAAUCAUGACUUCUGCAUCAUUUGUGAAAUUCUUCCCAUCCCUAGGAUUUUCUUCUUUAAAACUUGAGUGUACUUCCUCAACCAAAGGUGACUUGUAGCAUUGAUUGAUGCCAGAAGCCAAAGCUGAAGAGGUACCACUUGAAGAAUUCCCAGCAUCACCAUCUCUCCUGGAUGUAUUCAAAUUAUUGGAUGACUUGAGGCCUUGAGAAUAAACCUUCUCGGACAUAGUAGAGCUGGUAGAAGCUAAUGAUGACUGAUUAUAAUUAUUUGGUUCACGAUUAAUUCUUGGAAAGAGACCCUCUAUAUAGUCAUAUUCUUUUUUCCUGGGAACUUCAUUGUUUGCAUAUCGAUUCUUCCACAUCAAUGGUAUAGGGGGUCGACCAGGAACGGGAUUAUUUUUCUGCCCUUGAAAGUCCUCCACUUUCUUCUCAGCAGGUUUGAAACUUUUGCCAGUUCCUUUGAUCUGGAAUGGAUUAAGAUCUGAAAAAAGGAAUUUUGAAUCCUCAGAGCUAUUUUGACCAUAUGGAACAACAUUAACAUUCAUCCUCACAGCAUCACCAAUUCCAUGGGCUCCACGACUACCCUUGUACAGAGACGAUCCAACAACUGAGGAGGAAAUACUAUCAUGUUGAUUAGAAGGAGCUCCUCUACUAGAUACACCCAGAAGAACCAACACCAACAUCACUAUUUGCACCAGAGAAUGAAGCCAAGGGCUCCACACUUUCACCACUCAAUCUUCUAUCCAAAGGCAAACUACCAUCCACUGAAGAGUUCUGACUACUGCCUUCACCCAAUAAUGGCUUUGAUCCAUUAUAAACAAUUCCAGAUUCACUAGAAGAAUGAAGACCAGGGAUUUUACCUAUGGUUGGAUUACAUGAUUUAAAGGUAGUGUCCCUCACACUUAGAACAUCAGCCGGUAUAAGUGUCCCUGGAUCUGCCAUGAGAUCAACCAA
rnacentral:misc_RNA from 1 species